UGCAGAGGUCUCAAGCGUUGUUCGGAUUCAUUGGGCGUAAAGGGUGCGUAGGCGGCGCGGUAAGUCGGGUGUGAAAUCUCGGAGCUUAACUCCGAAACUGCAUUCGAUACUGCCGUGCUUGAGGACUGGAGAGGAGACUGGAAUUUACGGUGUAGCGGUGAAAUGCGUAGAUAUCGUAAGGAAGACCAGUGGCGAAGGCGGGUCUCUGGACAGUUCCUGACGCUGAGGCACGAAGGCCAGGGGAGCAAACGGG
rnacentral:rRNA from 1 species